UUGCUUUGGUAGCACAUAUAGUAUCACUGGAAUGAGACGACUGAGAAGACUAGUAUGGACCCUGCACAAAGAUGACACACAAAUUUGCGACAUGUUCAUAUUUUUA